rnacentral:rRNA from 1 species
CACGUAGGGCGCGAGCGUUGUCCGGAAUUAUUGGGCGUAAAGAGCUCGUAGGCGGCCUGUUGCGUCCGCUGUGAAAGCCCGGGGCUUAACCCCGGGUCGGCAGUGGAUACGGGCAGGCUAGAGGUAGGUAGGGGAGAACGGAAUUCCCGGUGUAGCGGUGAAAUGCGCAGAUAUCGGGAGGAACACCGGUGGCGAAGGCGGUUCUCUGGGCCUGUACUGACGCUGAGGAGCGAAAGCGUGGGGAGCAAACAGG